ACACCAUCUCUAUUGGAUAGUCAACUGGAUUAAGCGAAGGUAGGUCAACAAGGUGAGGUCUGGCUGCACCUCUAAAUAACAUGAGAGUUCCAGAUGGAAUAGCAUCAGAGACUAUGGAGAACUCUCUAGGAGGGCAGGUCAACAAGGUGAGGUCUGGCUGCACCUCUAAAUAACAUGAGAGUUCCAGAUGGAAUAGCAUCAGAGACUAUGGAGAACUCUCUAGGAGGGCAGGUCAACAAGGUGAGGUCUGGUUACACCUCUAAAUAACAUGAGAGUUCCAGAUGGAAUAGCAUCAGAGACUAUGGAGAACUCUCUAGGAGGGCAGGUCAACAAGGUGAGGUCUGGUUACACCUCUAAAUAACAUGAGAGUUCCAGAUGGAAUAGCAUCAGAGACUAUGGAGAACUCUCUAGGAGGGCAGGUCAACAAGGUGAGG